GGUUAAGUUAGAAAGGGCGCACGGUGGAUGCCUUGGCACUAGGAGCCGAUGAAGGACGGGACGAACACCGAUAUGCUUCGGGGAGCUGUAAGCAAGCUUUGAUCCGGAGAUUUCCGAAUGGGGAAACCCACCACUCGUAAUGGAGUGGUAUCCAUAUCUGAAUACAUAGGAUAUGAGAAGGCAGACCCGGGGAACUGAAACAUCUAAGUACCCGGAGGAAGAGAAAGCAAAUGCGAUUCCCUGAGUAGCGGCGAGCGAAACGGGAUCAGCCCAAACCAAGAGGCUUGCCUCUUGGGGUUGUAGGACACUCUGUACGGAGUUACAAAGGAACGAGGUAGAUGAAGAGGUCUGGAAAGGCCGCCAUAGGAGGUAACAGCCCUGUAGUCAAAACUUCGUUCUCUCCUGAGUGGAUCCUGAGUACGGCGGAACACGUGAAAUUCCGUCGGAAUCCGGGAGGACCAUCUCCCAAGGCUAAAUACUCCCUAGUGACCGAUAGUGAACCAGUACCGUGAGGGAAAGGUGAAAAGCACCCCGGAAGGGGAGUGAAAGAGAUCCUGAAACCGUGUGCCUACAAGUAGUCAGAGCCCGUUAACGGGUGAUGGCGUGCCUUUUGUAGAAUGAACCGGCGAGUUACGAUCCCGUGCAAGGUUAAGCAGAAGAUGCGGAGCCGCAGCGAAAGCGAGUCUGAAUAGGGCGAAUUGAGUACGUGGUCGUAGACCCGAAACCAGGUGAUCUACCCAUGUCCAGGGUGAAGUUCAGGUAACACUGAAUGGAGGCCGAACCCACGCACGUUGAAAAGUGCGGGGAUGAGGUGUGGGUAGGGGUGAAAUGCCAAUCGAACCUGGAGAUAGCUGGUUCUCUCCGAAAUAGCUUUAGGGCUAGCCUCAAGGUAAGAGUCUCGGAGGUAGAGCACUGAUUGGACUAGGGCCCUACCGGGUUACCGAAUUCAGUCAAACUCCGAAUGCCGAUGACUUAUCCUUGGGAGUCAGACUGCGAGUGAUAAGAUCCGUAGUCGAAAGGGAAACAGCCCAGACCGCCAGCUAAGGUCCCAAAGUAUACGUUAAGUGGAAAAGGAUGUGGAGUUGCUUAGACAACCAGGAUGUUGGCUUAGAAGCAGCCACCAUUUAAAGAGUGCGUAAUAGCUCACUGGUCGAGUGACUCUGCGCCGAAAAUGUACCGGGGCUAAACGUAUCACCGAAGCUGCGGACUGUUCUUCGAACAGUGGUAGGAGAGCGUUCUAAGGGCUGUGAAGCAAGACCGGAAGGACUUGUGGAGCGCUUAGAAGUGAGAAUGCCGGUAUGAGUAGCGAAAGAGGGGUGAGAAUCCCCUCCACCGAAUGCCUAAGGUUUCCUGAGGAAGGCUCGUCCGCUCAGGGUUAGUCGGGACCUAAGCCGAGGCCGAAAGGCGUAGGCGAUGGAUAACAGGUUGAUAUUCCUGUACCACCUCCUCACCAUUUGAGCAAUGGGGGGACGCAGGAGGAUAGGGUAAGCGCGGUAUUGGAUAUCCGCGUCCAAGCAGUUAGGCUGGGAAAUAGGCAAAUCCGUUUCCCGUGAAGGCUGAGCUGUGAUGGCGAGCGAAUUAUAGUAGCGAAGUUCCUGAUUCCACACUGCCAAGAAAAGCCUCUAGCGAGGUGAGAGGUGCCCGUACCGCAAACCGACACAGGUAGGCGAGGAGAGAAUCCUAAGGUGAUCGAGAGAACUCUCGUUAAGGAACUCGGCAAAAUGACCCCGUAACUUCGGGAGAAGGGGUGCUCUGUUAGGGUGCAAGCCCGAGAGAGCCGCAGUGAAUAGGCCCAGGCGACUGUUUAGCAAAAACACAGGUCUCUGCGAAGCCGUAAGGCGAAGUAUAGGGGCUGACGCCUGCCCGGUGCUGGAAGGUUAAGAGGAGCGCUUAGCGUAAGCGAAGGUGCGAAUUGAAGCCCCAGUAAACGGCGGCCGUAACUAUAACGAUCUCCUAAGGUAGCGAAAUUCCUUGUCGGGUAAGUUCCGACCCGCACGAAAGGCGCAACGAUCUGGGCACUGUCUCAACGAGAGACUCGGUGAAAUUAUAGUACCUGUGAAGAUGCAGGUUACCCGCGACAGGACGGAAAGACCCCGUGGAGCUUUACUGCAGCCUGAUAUUGAAUGUUGGUACAGCUUGUACAGGAUAGGUAGGAGCCUUGGAAACCGGAGCGCCAGCUUCGGUGGAGGCAUCGGUGGGAUACUACCCUGGCUGUAUUGACCUUCUAACCCGCCGCCCUUAUCGGGCGGGGAGACAGUGUCAGGUGGGCAGUUUGACUGGGGCGGUCGCCUCCUAAAAGGUAACGGAGGCGCCCAAAGGUUCCCUCAGAAUGGUUGGAAAUCAUUCGCAGAGUGUAAAGGCACAAGGGAGCUUGACUGCGAGACCUACAAGUCGAGCAGGGACGAAAGUCGGGCUUAGUGAUCCGGUGGUUCCGCAUGGAAGGCCAUCGCUCAACGGAUAAAAGCUACCCCGGGGAUAACAGGCUUAUCUCCCCCAAGAGUCCACAUCGACGGGGAGGUUUGGCACCUCGAUGUCGGCUCAUCGCAUCCUGGGGCUGUAGUCGGUCCCAAGGGUUGGGCUGUUCGCCCAUUAAAGCGGUACGCGAGCUGGGUUCAGAACGUCGUGAGACAGUUCUAUCCCUAUCCGUCGCGGGCGCAGGAAAUUUGAGAGGAGCUGUCCUUAGUACGAGAGGACCGGGAUGGACGCACCGCUGGUGUACCAGUUGUUCUGCCAAGGGCAUCGCUGGGUAGCUAUGUGCGGACGGGAUAAGUGCUGAAAGCAUCUAAGCAUGAAGCCCCCCUCAAGAUGAGAUUUCCCAUUCCGCAAGGAAGUAAGAUCCCUGAAAGAUGAUCAGGUUGAUAGGUCUGAGGUGGAAGUGUGGCGACACAUGGAGCUGACAGAUACUAAUCGAUCGAGGACUUAACCAA
rnacentral:rRNA from 1 species